rnacentral:rRNA from 1 species
GUGAGUGUGCGUGGCUGGGUGUGGCCUCGUUUGCCGGUUGUUUGUGGCGUGCGAGCGAGCGCGCGUGUGGCUUCGUCACCUUUCUCUCCUCGCCUGUCUUUUCGGACCUUUCGGUUUUUUCUUAAGUGGUCGUGUUUCCCCUUUCCUCUCUCUCUCCGCUCCGCUCCGAUCCCAAAGCAGGUUAAGGCGGUACCUAAGGCCACUGCGCACCCCGGCGAGGAGGAGGUGGAGGAGGAGGCGGCGGCGGCGCUCCGCGGACGUCAGGGCGAUGCUAGACAUGUACCCCAAGCUGCUGCGCCUGCGGCCGCCCCUGCUCCACCUCCGCGCGCCCCGCCUCCGGAUGUUGACGGGGAAAACGCCGCUCCUGAAGCUGAAGCAGCCCGAGACGACGGUGUAGCUGCUGCUCGUGCGGCAGCUCCGGUUCUCGCCCCAUACGGGGUAGACACGAUGUUCCCAACCCCACCUGAACUAUCCGGUGAACUGUUACGUCGUACCUUCAAUGAAGUUCUACGUUGCGUCCGCGUCUCAGGCUUUUCAUAGAAGGCCCAGGGUAAGAAACGACAGAAACAACUCUUUCCUAAAUUCUCUGCCGUCAAACGUCAGGAAAGAACCACCUAGUAGGAUACAUAGAUUAGGAGGGCGACGUCGGGGACUAGGUAAAAACGUUAGAAAUUAAACAUCAAACGGACACCGACUUGGUAGCUUUCUAAAAGCAAGGCUGAGUAGACUGUUUUGUAAAAACGAUUUAUUUAAGGGUCUACUUUUCCAGCAUCUCUCCAUACAGUGGAGUUCGAAACAAGAAAGACGACGGAGUGAGGCGAGGAAGAAACGGUGCUAUGAUGAUAGAGACGAGUCACCUACUAUCUAAAGGUGUAAGAUGUAACACGCGACAGGAACACGUAUCGGUCAUGGCGAAAAAUACGGGAGAUUCGUACGUAUUUUACCGUUUCGGAACUACGGUUAAUCAAAAACAGUAACAAUAGUUAACAUAUCAUGUAACAGACAAUACCAAUGCACCAACGGAAAAACUGCAUAAUGAACAGGGAAAAUGCGACAAUCAUACUCGUACUAAAUAAGAAAUUAGACGAACCGUAGUAAACUAAAACUUCUAUAAACAGGUUCUUUUGUGAUCGAAAUUGAAUUAGUACACGGCAUAUAGUAUUAUCAGAUGGGUAGGCAUACAAAGUAUGACUACUAAUUACAAUACACGGAAUACCAAAAACUACUAAACAACGAGUAGUCUUAAAAAUUUAGUAAAGAGUCAUGGUUUACAUCCGUUCAACAUGGAAAACUCAAAACUUUACAUACAAAACGACAUCAAAUUAUCAAGAACAAUAGUUUAUAAACUAACUUACAGACACCACUUAAAUGUCUCGACUUUGUAGAGACAGGCUCUUCCUAGUCUUCCUCUCCCGAGUCUCCUCACGUAAACGGGCACCCGAACACGAAAGGUGUUAUAAACUACUACUAUGGUACAUUCCCUCUAGCUGAAACUAUCACCAACGUACUGUAUCAGGUCCCGCGAGUCGUGUUCUCUUAAAUAGAUCUCGCGACGUUGGAACAAGUACGUCGGUGACGGCGAGUGUCCGCAAUUGCUGGUUGGCCUCCAGGUAGGUCAAUACUUACAUAUACAUAAAUACAUACGGAACGGCUCUCGCGUAGUACUCUUAUCACCUCCUUCCGGAACACAACGUCGAAAGGUGUACCUUAUUUACCCCUAUGAUAGGAAUCACCGUAACACGUAUAUGUUUUCUCCCCGCUCGAUGAGCAGUACAUAAUCUAAUAUAAGACAAAGUAGUUACAUUAUUCACACAACAUUUGAGUAGAGUAGGAAUCAUACACUCUAACGAAACUACGAAAGACAUAUAUAAGCUAACACCAUGUAAACUGUAAACUCCUUUCCCUUACCUCACUUAAAUUGUAAAGAACGACAAAGUCUACAUUUGACUUUACUUUAUCUAACCGG